GAUGAACGCUGGCGGCGUGCUUAACACAUGCAAGUCGAACGGUGAAGGCGGAGCUUGCUCUGCUGGAUCAGUGGCGAACGGGUGAGUAACACGUGAGCAAUCUGCCCCUGACUCUGGGAUAAGCGCUGGAAACGGCGUCUAAUACUGGAUACGAGCUGCGAAGGCAUCUUCAGCAGCUGGAAAGAACUUCGGUCAGGGAUGAGCUCGCGGCCUAUCAGCUUGUUGGUGAGGUAACGGCUCACCAAGGCGUCGACGGGUAGCCGGCCUGAGAGGGUGACCGGCCACACUGGGACUGAGACACGGCCCAGACUCCUACGGGAGGCAGCAGUGGGGAAUAUUGCACAAUGGGCGAAAGCCUGAUGCAGCAACGCCGCGUGAGGGACGACGGCCUUCGGGUUGUAAACCUCUUUUAGCAGGGAAGAAGCGAAAGUGACGGUACCUGAAGAAAAAGCGCCGGCUAACUACGUG
rnacentral:rRNA from 1 species